rnacentral:lncRNA from 1 species
CGACGGGGUUGAUGUCGCCGCCGAUGAUGGGAGUUGGAUCGGUUUGGGAGAGAUGAGAGAAAGGGAGUGUUGGGGAAGAGAUGAGGGAGGGGUAUUUUGGACUCAAAUGUUGUUUAAUGGCUAAUGUUGAUAGAAAUAUUUUUGGGGGGUUAAGAUGAAAAAAAGCAAAGUUUUUUUGGUUAUUAGUGUAAAUUUCCCGAACAAAUUAAUAUCUCAUUCACAUAAGUACAAAUUAAUUGCGUAAUAUACUCUUCACCAAACCUUUAAUUAUGUUAAUAGGAAAUUAACCACCUUAUUUGAAAAUUGAAAUUAAGUGAAAAAUGACUUUAAUUAUGGUAUUGAAAUUUAUAUUUUAAUUAUAGUUUUGAAAUUUAUAUACAUGUUUCUUGUUAAUUUAAAGAAAAAUGAAAACCAUGUACAUAAAUAUUUGCUGAGUUUUUCUACAGUAGAAAAACUCAUGUGUUGAACUUAGAUGACUCAUAAAUUAGGUCAUAAGUUAACGAUUGCCUCUAGUUUGUAAUCUUAUUUACAAAAUCAUAAUUGAUGUGACAUAUUCUUCUAAACAGCCCUAUCACAAAUAAGUCGUCGCUCACGAAAUUUGAUUUUGAUAUUAUAUAAACACCUAUGGUUAAUCCUCACCUCCCUCCCCCCAAAAAAAAAAAAAAAUUGCUGAUGAUUUGAGGAUCAUCUAAACUUCUAUUCUUAGUCCAAAAACUAUUCUCAGCUAAUUAACAACCUUAGUGGACAUUAACAAAUUAAUUCAACUUGGUUCAAUGGAUCCAUCUCUAUACUUCAAUAAUAACCUAAGUAAAUUGAAAAGUCUCUCAAGAUCACUCUUGUUCAUGUUAAUGGUGAUUAAUGUUUAAGUUAAAUAAAACGUAAUCAUUUUGCGGGAUUUUGUUGCCUUCCACUGAUCCAAAGCUGUUCAUAAUUCAUUCAUGAAAUGAAAUUACUCCUAGUGUUAUUAUUAGACGGUUUGAUUUUGACUCUUACAGGUGGAGGAUUAGGCGUUUAUAUACAUAUGUACAGUUAUAUUAUUGAUGAGUUUGUUGACCCUCAAGGUUUUUAUUUCAUAUUAUAUAUGGUAUACAGAAUGAUCAUCUCACAGCUUGGUUACAAUUAAACAUUUUAAAUGUCCAAACACUAAAGCUUUUCAUAGCAAAAUCAUAGCCACGUAUUGUAUUGUAAAUGAUUUGUUUGGGAACGUCUUGUAACUAUAACAAUUUCUUGAUAGAAUAAUCUCAAUAAUUACAAGCACAAUCAUCACUGUUGAUAAUGCAGAAUGAUUCUAAACAAUAUCCAAUUGUACGAACGUUAGUGAUGUUUUUGUUUUUUCUCUUCUGGUUUCCUUUUCCCUUCCUUACUUUUGGAAUUUUCAACAGAAAAAUGCACACAGGCGAUUGAAUAAAAUCAAAGCCUAGCAGCCUCUUUGAGAAAUUCAUUUUAAUAUGUCAAUUUAUUUUUCAAUGCAUGCAAUUUCUUGUAAACUGGAAUUAUACUUGGCAGGCUUUGUGGCCAUUUAUUUGUAGUUGGAUAACUGGAUGACUUUUUUCUAUUUUUUUUUUAAAUUGAAACAAAUUAAUUUUACAUUUUAGACGCUCUUCUACCAAAUUAAAACAAAUAUGUGUGUAACCAAACAAAGCAAUCAUCUCCCAUUGCAGGAAUGUACUCUUACCAAACAUACACUUAAAAUAAUAUUCUCCAAUUAAAUUUUGAACAAGUUGGUUAAUAUGGGGUCCGUUAGCAAAUUGCCAAGGAUCAAAUUAUUUCGAUUCAGUAGCUGAGGAACAUUAUGCUUAAUUUCCUGCUCAAAUCUAUUGUUGGAUCUUGUUGUAGACUUUUGUCUUUCACAUUAAUUUCAUAUGGGUCUGGAUCUACAUUUCUUUCCUUUUUUUUUUUGGGUGUCGAAAGAGCAUUAAUCAGUGAGAUGGGUU